rnacentral:pre_miRNA from 1 species
GGUCUUGAGGGGGCUUUCCUGCACACACCAGACUAUUGAAAGCUGUGUGUGGAGAUGCUUCUGUGACAUU